AGAAUCAACGCUGGCGGCGUGCCUAACACAUGCAAGUCGAACGAGAAAGUGGAGCAAUCCAUGAGUAAAGUGGCGACCGGGUGAGUAACACGUGACUAACCUACCUUCGAGUGGGGGAUAACCUCGGGAAACCGGGGCUAAUACCGCAUAAUAUCCACGGAUCAAAGGAGCAAUUCGCUUGAAGAGGGGGUCGCGGCUGAUUAGUUAGUUGGCGGGGUAAUGGCCCACCAAGACAAUGAUCGGUAGCCGGCCUGAGAGGGCGCACGGCCACACCUGGAACUGAAACACGGUCCAGACUCCUACGGGAGGCAGCAGUGGGAAUUUUGCGCAAUGGGGGAAACCCUGACGCAGCAACGCCGCGUGGAGGAUGAAGUCCCUUGGGACGUAAACUCCUUUCGACUGGGAAGAUAAUGACGGUACCAGUGGAAGAAGCCCCGGCUAACUUCGUGCCAGCAGCCGC
rnacentral:rRNA from 1 species